CACGUAGAAGACUAGUGUUAUUCAUCUUUAUUAGGUUUAAAGGGUACCUAGACGGAAAAUAAAGCUAUAAUAAGUACUAAUUUUCCAGAGUUUUAUGAAAGAAGGGGUGAAUUUCCAGAGGAAAGUUGAUAUUUUGUGAUACUGGAAGGACGGGUAACGGCGAAGGCUACCUUUUAUGUAAAAACUGACGUUGAGGGACGAAGCCGUUGGGUAACGAGGAAGAUUAGAUGACCCUAG
rnacentral:rRNA from 1 species